GAUGAACGCUGGCGGCGUGCCUAAUACAUGCAAGUCGAUCGAACAGACGAGGAGCUUGCUCCUCUGACGUUAGCGGCGGACGGGUGAGUAACACGUGGAUAACCUACCUAUAAGACUGGGAUAACUUCGGGAAACCGGAGCUAAUACCGGAUAAUAUAUUGAACCGCAUGGUUCAAUAGUGAAAGACGGUUUUGCUGUCACUUAUAGAUGGAUCCGCGCCGCAUUAGCUAGUUGGUAAGGUAACGGCCUACCAAGGCAACGAUGCGUAGCCGACCUGAGAGGGUGAUCGGCCACACUGGAACUGAGACACGGUCCAGACUCCUACGGGAGGCAGCAGUAGGGAAUCUUCCGCAAUGGGCGAAAGCCUGACGGAGCAACGCCGCGUGAGUGAUGAAGGUCUUCGGAUCGUAAAACUCUGUUAUUAGGGAAGAACAAAUGUGUAAGUAACUAUGCACGUCUUGACGGUACCUAAUCAGAAAGCCACGGCUAACUACGUG
rnacentral:rRNA from 1 species